GGAGGAAAGGCCCAUAGAUCAGUGGUGGAGCAUCUGCCUCGCAAGCAGAAGAUCCCAGGUUCAGUUCCUGACACCUCCA